rnacentral:ncRNA from 1 species
CAAACGACGUUGAUCGAGAACAGCGAGUAUCAUCGAUUGCAGAGAGCUGAUGGUUGGUGCAAAUCAGUAGAAAGUGGUACUUAGCUAAUCACUCGUGAGUUGUAUGUCGAACGAUUUUUCAAGUAGAACGUACUGGUAGCACCCAUUAUCGUGCCGACUGAUAUUCUUUUAAUGGAUGUUGGUUGAGGCGGCUCUUUAGCCGUAAAGAAAGGUGGUACCACGUUUAGAAGCGUCCUUUUU